rnacentral:lncRNA from 1 species
GACCCCGUCUGGUGACCGGCGACGCUGGGCUGGGUUCGGCGCAGGGGGUCGGGAAGCACAAAGAAGUUAAGUACUUGCCCAAGUUCACACCAAGAUUUGAACCCAGGUAGUCUUACUUCAGAGACUACGUUUUUAUCCGUGGCCAUUGCCAACCUCAUGCUCAUUCAUUUGUAAUUUGCCUUGCUACCAGUGUUUCUCUACCAUAAAAAUAUUAUGAGCCUCCAGCCAAACCCAACCUGAAGCCACCCAGCAAGGAGCCUGGGAGAGAGAGUCUAUGGGACAAACAGAUAUUUGCCUGCCUUGAUCACUCACCAUACCUAGAGAAGUGGCUGGCACCUGCUAACAAUUGAAUAAAUGCAACUCGUGGAAUAAAUGA